rnacentral:rRNA from 1 species
CAUUCCUACGGGGCGCAGCAGUGGGGAAUAUUGCACAAUGGGGGAAACCCUGAUGCAGCGACGCCGCGUGAGUGAAGAAGUAUCUCGGUAUGUAAAGCUCUAUCAGCAGGAAAGAUAAUGACGGUACCUGACUAAGAAGCCCCGGCUAACUACGUGCCAGCAGCCGCGGUAAUACGUAGGGGGCAAGCGUUAUCCGGAUUUACUGGGUGUAAAGGGAGCGUAGACGGCAGCGCAAGUCUGGAGUGAAAUGCAGGGGCUUAACCCCUGAACUGCUUUGGAAACUGCCAUGCUA